CCUCCCCAAACCACCAAACCGCGCCACUGCUCCUAGCCGUAGCCGCCAUCUCCAUUCCUCCUCCCGCCGUCGCCAUCCCCUCACCCUCCUACCGCCGCCUGUGCCUCGUCGUCGAGAUCCUCCAGAUCUCGCACCCCUCCCAUGCCCACUGCCCUCUCCUCCACAUCCUCCUCUCGAUCCCAGCCGCCACGCGUGGAUUCGGACGCACGCGAAGGCACGCCGCUCUCCUCCUCCACAUCCUCCUCUCGAUCACCGCCACUGUCGUCGUGCCUCCGGUACACAUGACUCCGCCGCGGCGUCUCCCUACUAUGCCGAUGUCGCUUCCUCUCCCUAUGCUGACCCGCUACACCACCCCGACCUGACGCGCCCGCCUCCAUGGAAGGCCCCUCGCGGCCAGCGUUGCCUUCACUGGCCCCGGUGCCCGCACGCGACACUUAAGCCUCCAUGUGCUCACCGCGGCUCUACCCUUGGGCGUUGGUAAGGAGCAUCAGUCGGCUCUGCCCCAGCGCCCAGCCCCGCCCGCAUCCUCCCGCCCGCCACAGCCACCUCCCCGUCGCCUACCCACCCGCUGCGCCUCCCCCUCCGCCACCGCGCCUUUGCCAUGUCCAUCAGUCGGCUCUGCCCCACCCGCUGCGCCUUCCCCUCUGCCACCACGCCGCUGCCAUAGUGCCAUGUCCGCUAAGGCGCGGACGCCUGAGUCACCGAUGGUGCCGCCGGCGCACCCCCCCUAUGACCUCAAGGCCAUCAUCGCGCUCGCUCUCUCCGAGGAUGCCGGAGAUCGAGGGGAUGUGUCUUGUUUGGCCACCAUACUGUCUGACGUGGAAGCUGAAGCCACAUUUAUUGCUAAAGAAUAUGGUGUCAUUGCUGGAAUAAGCCUAGCAGAUAUGAUAUUUAACCAGGUCGAUCCAUUGUUUAAGGUGGUGUUAAGGUCGAAUGGUUUGAAAGUGAUAGAAAUUUUGUCCACAAAGGAUUGCAGUUUGGCAAAUUACAUGGGUGAGCUCGGAGCAUCAUUGUUCCUGAAAGAGUUGUGCUCAAUUUCAUGCAGAGGAUGAGUUGCAUUGCGACCCUAACAAAGGUCGAAGUCGAACCAGUACGAGACCACGCUGCCAUAGAGAUUUGGUACAAAUUUGUGUGGCUAUUUUUUUUAGCUCAGGACCAUAGAGUGAGGCUGGUGCGAAAGGUAGGGGUACAAUGACUGCUGAUGAACUGGCCGGAGCAGCAAUCUAUUGAGCGGUCAGGCUCUAACAGAGCUAGCGACACAGCUGCAGACUGGCUCACAGGUUAGCCUCCCAAACAUAUAAAUAUUUUUUGUGGGGCAAUCAUACCAAUAUCAAUAUACCUUAGAGGCAAAGCUGAGAGUGUUGGAGCUUGACUAUUUUUGCGAGUGGGGCAAACAUGUUCCGUUGUAAAUAAACAACUUGUUAGAGAAAAAUACUGCAUUGGAGUUUCAAUUUGAGAACCGUUGACAAUUAGUAUUGCAUUUCUUAUGAUUUUCUCCCUUGUACUAUUGUAUUUUGUCGCAAUCAAUUAUUUUUACUAAACUUGUGUUGCAUCAAUAUUUUUACUAAGCAAUAUCUAUGCAUAUGCUUGAUGUCAUCUUGUACAAAUUUUGUUUUCGUUGCAACGCACGGGCACUGAACUAUAAAUUACUCAAGUGUGUUGGUGAUUUGCUUUUUUGGGUUUAAUUUUUUUUGCCUAUCAAGUGUCCUGUUAUUUUUGGCGCAAAGAAGAGCUGCAGGUCAGCAUUCAAGCAUGACAAGGUUUCGAUUCCUGAAGCCGGAACUGCUUCAUUUGGCCAUCUAAGACCGAACUCUCACUUGCGCGGUCUCGCAUGGUUAUCGUGGAGAAUUUGCCAGAUGAUUUUACAAGAAAUAGCCUCAAGAAGAUCUUUGACGUCAUUGGAAGCAGUAGAAUUUUAUUCUGGCUACAAGAUGAACGUGUGCGUACAUGCAUCUUCCAAACUAAUUACAUUAACUCACCACUCCAAAUGUCAGGAUGAAACUUCAGGAACAAAAUUAUCAUCGAUUUGCACUAUUAGUACUCUCAUUUAUUUAGUAUUUGGUCCAUACCAUUGUAUAAUUAAUGUUUUCUGACAAUGAUCUGUAAUAAUGCAUGUGCAUGAUGGGAAUAUGUUGAGGACUAAGUUCUUAAUAGAUGUAUUGAAGUACAAUGUGAAUGAAUUUAAAGAUAACAUUCCUAAAGUUAUAUAAGAAUUUCUUAAACA